rnacentral:rRNA from 1 species
CCUACGGGAGGCUGCAGUGGGGAAUAUUGCACAAUGGGCGCAAGCCUGAUGCAGCCAUGCCGCGUGUGUGAAGAAGGCCUUCGGGUUGUAAAGCACUUUCAGCGGGGAGGAAGGCGGUGAGGUUAAUAACCUCAUCGAUUGACGUUACCCGCAGAAGAAGCACCGGCUAACUCCGUGCCAGCAGCCGCGGUAAUACGGAGGGUGCAAGCGUUAAUCGGAAUUACUGGGCGUAAAGCGCACGCAGGCGGUCUGUCAAGUCGGAUGUGAAAUCCCCGGGCUCAACCUGGGAACUGCAUUCGAAACUGGCAGGCUAGAGGCUUGUAGAGGGGGUAGAAUUCCAGGUGUAGCGGUGAAAUGCGUAGAGAUCUGGAGGAAUACCGGUGGCGAAGGCGGCCCCCUGGACAAAGACUGACGCUCAGGUGCGAAAGCGUGGGGAGCAAACAGGAUUAGAUACCCUUGUAGUC